AGAAUUUCACUGAUGGCAUUAACCCUGUUUCUGUAUACACUGCUGUUGUGACAGUUAACAACACAAUAAUAAUUUCCAGUCAUCCGAGGAGGCGCCGUCGGAAACAAGAGACGUUUCGCGCGCAGCGCGAGCUAAGCGCGGGCGCGACCUUGAAUGGAAGCGGCGAAAACGUACACCUGUGGGAGGUGCAAUCGUUCCGCCAGGAGAGAAACGAGCGCCAUGCGAGCGCCGGCGUCUAGGAUGAAACUUGGCGUGCGAAAAAGGCGCGAAGGCGAGCGUUUCGCGCGUUUAUUGUGAGUGCAUAGGCGCCAUUUUCAGUUGUCACUACGGCUGCGCAAGGUGCUCAAGGAUGUUGUUUCUUUCUCCUGGGUUCCUGGCCGGGUUGGCCCCACAGAAAAGAUGCGUUAUGCCACUGUUGAAUUCACCAAAGCUGAAGAAGUGGAAGUUGUUCCUACAAGUUGGAUCUCCGACAACAAGUGUUGGUGGCCAGCUCACGCAAAGCCCGAAAAGCUUUUGUCAAUGGUGAAAAAAAUCACACCCGGUGGAAUCAACGUGGAAACAGUUUGACAUUUCUGUAAAAGGGUUAUUGGUGGGAGCCAUGUUUUGGUAUGGUGAUUUUUUAGAACAAAAUGAGAGUAAAAACUUGACCAUUG